GGUGUUCCAUAAGGUGUUCCAUAAGGUGUCCCAUAAGGUGUUCCAUAAGGUGUUCCAUAAGGUGUUCCAUAAGGUGUUCCCAUAAGGUGUCCCAUAAGGUGUUCCAUAAGGUGUUCCAUAAGGUGUUCCAUAAGGUGUUCCAUAAGGUGUUCCAUAAGGUGUUCCAUAAGGUGUUCCAUAAGGUGUCCCAUAAGGUGUUCCAUAAGGUGUUCCAUAAGGUGUUCCAUAAGGUGUUCCAUAAGGUGUUCCAUAAGGUGUUCCAUAAGGUGUUCCCAUAAGGUGUUCCCAUAA